rnacentral:misc_RNA from 1 species
UGGAAGUUAGAUGGAAAGUUG